AUGCUCGAAUCUUGUAUUCCUUGCUGAGAAACGUUUGGAAUUCCGUAAAAAUACCAUCUGAGCUUAAAGAAGGAGUUAUUACUCUUAUCCCGAAGAAGGGUAACCCUUCUGAGUGCAAAAACUGGGGAGGUAUGCUUAGCAUGAGGUUACGAGGAGAACAAGUUGGCUCCCGCCCUCGUUGUUCAUGCGUUGAUUACCUUGAGAGUGAUUGUUGAGGAGUCGAUGAAGUGGCGCAAGUCAGCGUCGAAUUUCAAGUCGGUGUACCGAAAGGCUAUGUUUUAUCACCGCUCUUAUUUAAUCUAGAUUCGAGAUUACUCGAACUUGUAAUGCGACAAGCUUGCGCGGCAAACAGAGGUCCUGGGGUUUGAAUGGCCGCUUAGAAGACCUGGACUAUGCUGACGACAUCCGUCUUCUGUCACAUAAACGAUCACAUAUAUCAGAAAAACUCUAAGCGGUAAACGACGCUGCAGUACAAACCGGGUUAAUAUUGCAAAAACAUUGUUAAUCAGUAUCAAUACCACCAAAACGCAAGCUCUUCACAUCUCUAACACACCGUUGGAAGAAGUGAAUGAAUUCUCCUGUCUCGGUUGGAUUAUCUCAAAAAUCGGCGGGUCAGCAGUUGACAUCGUCGCUUAGCUAAGGAACGCGCUGCGCUAGACAAGUUUUAUAUGAUGUGAAACAUGCAAUUUAUCAUCAUACGCCCUACAGACAUUGCAAUCCUUCUUUAAGCGCUGUCUUCGCAAGAAUAUGCGCAUAUUCUAACCCAAUAUCAUAAGAAACGAUGAUCUAUGGUCUUGAACUAAACAAACAACUUUUCACAUUGAAAUCCGUCGCUGUCAAUGGAGAUGGAAUUAGUGUGGAAUUGGUAAGGGAGUAGCAGACAAGGAAGGCCAAUGGAGGUGGCAAAUUGAAGCAGAAGCGAAAAGAGUGGACGCUCAAAGCCGAGUCGAGCGCAACGCUGAUGAAUGCGAGAAAAAAGUUUCGAAGCUAUUCGCAUACAUUUUCAUACGAAAUUGCACAGACAGCACAGAGUGGAAGCUGACCGAUGUCGUGCGUAAAGCAGAUCAGCGUGAGAAAAACAGCUUUGAAGUGUUUUUCGGCGCCGAAAUGCGCUAAAACGUAUUUAUUCACUAGAUUGAAGUGAUUAUAUGCUAUUUAUGUACAGUAAUAUAAUUAUAUUUUUA